UUGUUGGAACAUGUGUAGGGUGUAGAAAUAUAUUGUGUUAAGAAUAGAAUGUCCUGUAGCCUGGGAUGGCCUCGCUCUCUACUCUUGUCUGGCAUGUGUAAGAUAAGACAGUUGCAGAAGGAGCAAAUUGCUCCUGAUAAACAUUUGGGACAGAAUGCACCCAGUAUAAUAUCUAAUAGUGACAGCCAGUCUUGAUGCCAGGAGAGGAGGAGAGAAUAGGAGUGAUUCCAGGGCUUGCGCAUAUUUUGCUAUCUUCACGGGGGACAGAACGUCUGAGCUAUGACCAACUGAUUAGAGGCAUAGACACCAUGACGGAAGGAGGA